GAAUCAAAUUUCUUCCUUCGGGGAGUGCAGCAUGGGCCCUCGUGCUCAUGUUGUGGAAUCACAUCCUUAACACCUGUGAACUGUCUGUCAAGAACAAGGCUUCGGCUUUGGACUUGUACACUUUACCAAACUUUACUCUGUAAAAAAUGUCAUCUUAUUAUAACUUAAUAAAACUUUUAACAACGGAUCUCUUGGCUCU
rnacentral:misc_RNA from 1 species